ensembl:lncRNA
GGGGAUUGUUUCUGUUGUUCACCAGGGCUGUUGGAUCUUUAAUCUGCAUGGCAUGUGGCAUGCUGUGGUGAUAAGUGAUCCCUUGCCUCUGCAAUCUUCACAGCCCUGGGAAGCUUGCUUCUCAUUCCUUCUACCUGCCUAUUCAGAUUGGCUGGAACCUAUGCUCACUCCUGCUGACCCAGAGGGACCCAGGCUCAUCUGGUGUUUUCCACCAGGGAAAGGCAUUUAGAUGACCUGGACUCCAGUCUCUGGUGGCCAGACCGUCCGCUACGCUGUGUUGAGAACGGGCUACACAUUCCAUGCCAUGAAGGUCUCCUGUGAGCGGAAAGACCCAAUCUAGGCUUCAGCAGCAGGGUGACUGUCCCAGAGCUUGGGAUAAGAGCAUUGAUCUGAGGGUGAGGGUGUGGGUGCAGAUGUGGCUGUUAGAGGGCCCAGGCGCUCUUUCCAUAUCCAGCCACGAGAGACACUGAGGCCUUCCCACAAAUCCAACAGCCAUAGUCCUAUUUGUUAGACAUAGAUAAGUUCACUCCUGAAGCCCUCAGAGGCCUGCUGCUGAUGCCUGGGGACCCAAGACAUUUGGUCUGAAAUCAGAGAGGUACGGUGUCAAGGGAGCAAUGCUUUUUCUGAAGGCCACCCACCCAGUGUCCCUCCAGGUAAAAACCAAAGCAGCAACCACACCUGGCCACUUUUUAAAGGGAAGCCACUUCCCCCUGGAGGUUCUUUAUCUCUUAGUCUUGUACUCUCCAGCCUGGAGUUUCACAAAUGGGUCAGGAAGAGAUCUUCUAGCUUCUUAGGCUCUUCUGCAUUUAGAACUAGGUAACUCAGGUCACGAGCGACAUCACCGUGAAGCUGGAGACAGGAGGCUCGUCUGGGGUUCAGGGUAAGUUUGAGGCCAGCUUGGGCAACCUUUUCAGUUUGCCUCGAAAUAAGAAAUAAAGAAUUUGAAAUGUGGCAGCCCAGGAGGUGGUAGUGCACACCUUUAAUCCCAGCACUCAAGAGGCAGAGGGCAGAGGACAGAGGGCAGGGGCAGAGGGGCAGAGGCAGGUGAUCUCUGUGAGUUUGAGACCAGCCUGGUCUAUAGAGUGAGUUCUAGAACAGUCAGGGCUACACAGAGAAACCCUGUCUCUAAAAACCAAUAAUAGUAAUAAUAAUAAUAAUAAUAAUAAUAAUAAUAAUAAUAAUAAUAAUAAUAAUGAUAAUAAUAAGGUUUGUUGAGCUGUGGCUCAGUGGUAAACUACUUGUCUAGGAUGUAUGAGACCCUGAGUUCAGUUUCUAUCACCAACUAAUGACGAACAAAAAAAUGACUAAUGAAUUUAGAAAGCCCAUUCUCUCCUAAGCUGGCUCUCCAUUAAGCACACAUGUGUUUGAGGGCAAUUCGACCCCACUGGCUGUUUAAAAGGAGAGACAGCUGUUUAUAAGGAUACGCCAGUCUGCUGUGAUGGGAGCUAGGAGCAACUCGGCUAUGGUAAUAUGGCGACACCUGCAACCAAUACUGAGUCGGUACUCGAGUGGGAGACCUCAGAGGUGGCCUCAGCAUGGAUUCAAGUAAACAUUAUGUGGAAGCUAAUUCUCCUGGGACCUGUCACGGCAAGGUGUUUGCUUAAAUUUUCAAAAGCUCUUGGCACUGAAUUCAAACGUUUUUAAUGCAACCUCUUUCCUGGGUCAGUCCCUGCGUGUUUUGCCUCCUUCUGUCUUGGAAAGGCUUCAUUAAAAGGCUGGAGAGAUGGCCUAGCGGUUAAGAGCCUGUGCUGCUCCUAUAGAAGACACGAGUUCGGUUCCCAGCACUAAUGCAGCACUCUGCUGGCCUUUGAUCUGAUGUUCAGGACCACAGACAAUGAGGCACACCAUCCGACCGCUUCUUACACAGAGUUUGAGCUGGGCUAGCCUCCUGAUCAGAUGAACCCAAGCCCGAGAGGCUGAUGCUCUGCCGAGGAAAAAAAGCUGGACGUAGAGAAGUGUGCGCAGAGUACCUGGCGAGCCAUUUACUCACGGGAGAGCUCCAUAGACUGCUUUAAAGAACUCGGGUAGGAAGGGUGGGGGCUGCACAGCUAACUCCCAAAUGGAUUUUGCAAAGCCUGAAGACAUAGACUCAAACCCUGGACAAUGAUGCUUCAUCAGUAAGUUUCACGUGGCACCAGGGGCUGCCAGCUUCGGACUUUGUCUUCAAGAUGAAGGAGACAGGGAGCGGAGUGGACAGGGCACGGGUCUAUGCCCCCAUCAGCUGUGCUGACCUAGCUGUCACAGGCUUCUGCUUAGACUGCAGGCGGGCGGGCUACAGAGUCCGUGCAAGCUCCCUAAUGUCCCUCUGUCUUCCACAUUUCCUUCCUUUCUGAAAGUGGCUGAGGAGUUGUGACAAGCUGUCACAUGUAUUGCCUUCCUUGCUCCUGCCUGGCUGACAAUCAUGGGCAAUCCUUGCCUGCAGAGUCCAGUCCCAGUCUCCGCCUCAGUCCCCAAAGUUCCUCUCCUUCUGUCCUUCCGACCCUUCAAAUUGUCCUCUUUGAUAAGAUCAGCAGGUAUAUGGCUGCAGGCUAUCCUUCCCUAGUGUGGCCUCAUUCUAACUGAGCUGGUCACAUUGGACCUGUCUUCAAAGAGAAGUCACAUAAUGAGAUCCUGGAAUCUUGACUUAGGGGGAUGUGGUACAAGUUGUUCCUCACAUGUUGCUUAUGAGGAACUUUUACUGGGGUCUCCGGUGCUGGGUGAGGUGACGUUUUUCUAAAGGUUGAUUGGUACAAGUGUGUUGUGUGUGUCUUUGCUAUCCAGCCUUAGUUCUGAGAAUGGGCAGUGCUACCAGGCCCCACCCAGGAUUCCCUUGAAUCCACAGAUAAAAGACACACACACACACACACACACACACACACACACACACACACACACUUGUUAGCUUUCAAUUUGCCUUCUUGGCACAAUUGCCGGGCAUUAUUAAACUUCUGCCUAUAGGAGCAGCCACAGACCCGUCACUCCUCUCGAGCCCUCACAUGGCUGCUUGACUUUUCUCUUUCUAAAGCAUGGCAAACUCUCUCCCUUGUGUCUGUUUCUCUUCCUCCAGGGACCCGGAAGUCCCACCCAUUCCUCCCACCCAGCCCAUGGCCUCUUUACUGACAGAUCAAGAACCAAUCAGGAUAGCAUCAGAACCAUCCCUACACCAGUGACUUCCCCUUUCAGAAGCAGGUUUCCUUUUGGUAUAGUCACAUGGGAUGUGAGCCACUCAUUGUGUGGGUCACGAAAAGGAGCAGAUACACAAUAGAAAAAUCCCGUUGCCAUACAGGUGGAGGGUGGGUUCCUCUCAAAGUAAUUCCAGAUGAGACUCGGUUCUCAGAAUUCCCCAGAGGAUACUUGGCCAUGCCUGGUGAAGUGUCUGGUUGUUACUGCUAGAUACAGUGUAGUAGGAAAUUAUAAUCUUAGCCUGUAUAAAAGACACACAAUCCGGGUAUUUUAAGCCAUAUUACUAGAUUGGGCAGAUCAAGGGCUGUACUAACUUACUUCUCAGCUAUAAAACCCCUUGUUACUUGCUGUUUCUCCUGGCCACGUGGUUCUGGUCCAGGGUAUCUUCCUCCUCUUCUCCCCUCUCCACCCAAAACCGCCUCUCAUGAACCUCCAGUCCUACCUUUCUCCCUCUACUGCCCAAUCACAGGCUCUAGCCUUUAAUUGAUCCGUUAAAUUGGGGAGAAGGUUCACACGGCGGCGUUACUUGAGUGCAUGAGGACCUGCUCGUCCACAUUUUGAGGAAACAGUAUUUAUCAGCAGCACUAAACCAGCUCAUUACAUUGUAGCCAAGUGCCCAACAUCCAGGGAGAAGGUCAAGGUAUUUGGUUGGUCGAACCCCAGAUACUCAGCCCAACUAGGUCUUCACCAAAGAUCAAGGCAGGAAAAGGUUAAGGAAUGAGUCUGACAGUUAUGUCUGGGAAUCUGGAUCAUACUGAGGAGGGCAAGGAAAGUGGAAAUUCAUUUGCCAGGAAGCCUGGCCUUCAGACCACUUUUCUUCUCUGUGGCAGAUGUCUUACUUGCCUCUCCCAGGAAGUAAAGCCCCGGCAUUGGUACCUUAUCAUCUCCCUCCCAGAGAGGGAAUGACCUCCUGUUUGCCGUGAGCAAAUACUGCCUCUCACUAAGGUCCAUUUUCUCAUAUUGUAAAUAGGGGUAGGGAAUGGAAAACCAGCGGGCAUUAAGUUUUUGUGCUAAGUGGAUCUGUGACCGGCUUGGGAGGGAAGUGGUAUCACUUACUUGACUGGAAAGGUCAGAAUUGUGGAGCUGGUGGGGAGGAGCUGCUCACCAGAUGGCUGCCCAGCCGUGGGGUCAGCACUUGACUUGCUGUCACCAGGGUGGGGUGCUAGCAUCUUCAACAGCCGUGCUGCAGCCAUACUGAAGUGAGAGGCUGGAAGAACACGCUUGAAGUAGACACUGGAGCCGGUGCCCUGUGCAGCCGACUCCUGACAGGCAGAGGAAGCCGUCCUGGGCCUGCCUGGCCAUUUCCACUUCACAGCCAAGCCUGGGAGUCAUUUGAGUGAUAGAUUUAUUUUGUUAGCAGCAACUUAUAAAGAGGCACGGUUUCAGGACGGACCGUGUGCCUCAGGGGCUUCUUAAGAACUUAAGGUCAAGGGCUAGGGCUGUAGCUCAGUGGUAGAGCAUUUGCCUAGCAUACACGAGGCCAUAGGUUCAGUUCUCAGCGCUGCUGGAUUAAAAAGAAACACAGAGUUUGAGGAUAUCCUCAUGCCUUAAAGCAAGCACUUCACCAACCAUGAGCCAUUUAGCAGUCCCUGAGUCUGACUUUUGUGUCCUUUAGACUGAGUACUUGUAGGGUCAUGGUACCCAGGCUGUGGGUUUCAUUCACAAACAUGAGAUUUCAUGCCCAGCUCCCGUGCUCUCCACCUAUCUGCUGGUCUUGGCAGAGUUACUGAGGAGCGUCCUGUAACAGGCAAGGCGUUGACAACUUCUAGCGUGUUUCUGGGCACUUGCUAUGGAUUUAGCAAAAUGUCCAUCUGGGUUAUGUCAGUUUGUCCAAGCUUCAGGGGUGCUGCCUCUGGCAGCCCCUUGAAAAGAGUUACCUAGCCUUGACUUUGAACCCACCCACAGACGUAAAUCACGGCUGAUUUUACUAUGCCCCUUCCUUUGAAGGACUCUCCCAGCUGGAUUAGCAAAUGUUCCUUCUCCUACAAGGUCCCAGAAAUGGUAUCAAUGGUUGUCAGUGCUCAUAGGAUCUGGAGUACCAGUGGUUGACGUGAUUCUGUCACCAGCGGAUGGAAGCGGACUCCCGGCAGCUGUGUUUGUUCACGUGGGGAGGUGCGGCUGUUGGUGAUCGUAAAAUAUUAUGAUCCCAUAUGUCUCCCCAAAUCAUAACCGUGGAAGUGCCUGCCUUGCUUUCAUCUGGUGUGCGUGUUGUCACCCUGUUAAGAGCUGUCCUCGGUGAGACAAGGAGGGAGGGCUCGGUGGUGGACUGACUCGAUUCCAAGGACACAGGUUCAAACGCAGUUACAGGAAGCCCAGGCUGGUAUCUGGAUGUUGCUGCUGAGCCUCAUCUCUGGGUGAUCUCGACCACCAUCAUGUUCUUUGAUGAUAGAUGGGUUCUCUCCAGGUGCUCUCUGUAGGGCACUGAUGAUACAUGUGAUGUGUGUAUGUCUCGUGCUCUAUCAUGCUCACUUUGCAAAUGGAGAAACUGAGUCAUGGGAGGUUGAACAGAAGCUUAGUUUUUUUCUUCCUUUUAAUCUUUUAUCAAAUUUAAAAAAGUGUGUGUGUGUGUGUGUGUGUGUGUGUGUGUGUGUGUGUGUGUGUGGCGUGACUGCCAUAGCAUAUAUUGUGGAGGUGGGAGGUGAACUUGUGGGAGCUUCUGUGGUCUCCAGGGAUGGGACUCAGGUUUUCAGGCUUCCCAGCAAGUAUCUCUUCCUGCUGGGACUCCUUGAGACUUAAAGCCAGCUCUGGAAUACAAGAGCUGGAGGGAGGCAGUUUGGUUCAGCCUAUGGUGUUGUUCUUAUGAUGCUUCAACCAAGGCAGAGGUGGCAGUAUUGUCUGUGGACAAGUCCUGGGAAGGGAAGGGGCUUGUAAGCGAUUAGUUAUCAUUAUUAUUUUUUUUCUUUUCUUUUUUUUCGGAGCUGGGGACCGAACCCAGGGCCUUGCGCUUGCUAGGCAAGCGCUCUACUGCUGAGCUAAAUCCCCAACCCCUAGUUAUCAUUCUUUAAAGACAGCUGUGUCUGAUUCUCUUGCUGUAUUGUAAGUCACCCCAGGCCUGUGUCUUGAGAGGAUCCCUACUCCUCAAUCCUUUGGGUCAAGAGCAGUGACACCUUGGACAGGAUCUUACUCUGGGUAUGACAUAGACUUCCAGGCAAGCUGUCACCUGGAGUUGACAAUGCCCUAGAGGGACCUCUGCUCCUAUGCUCACUCUGAAGUGAUCCACCUUCACUCACAUGACUCUGGUGGCUCUGGUAGCUAGACACUGAAAGCUGAGAUGGGGCAGAAUUAAUUCCUUCCUGGCUGUGAGGGGAUAUUAUAGCCCCUCAUGGAACUUCUAGGGGUUGCCGGUUUGUAGACACAGAGCCUUUUUUUCUCAACGGUCUUCCUAGGACAUUCCUCCUGGCAUGUAUCCAUGUCUAAAUGUCCCUUUAUCAUAAGGAGUCCCAGUGUGUUGUAGGGAGAGCUCUCUCUCCUGCAGGACUUCAUCUUAACGGUCAUGUUUGCAGCAGCCUGACUUCUAAACGAGGCUGUCUCUGGGUGGGUCAGUGGGUCAAUGUGUGACUUUGCAUGCAGGGAACUCAGGGCAUCUGGGCAUCUGACAGCAGGCCAUGGCUCAUCUGUGUGGAUAAGGUCAUAGAGUCUGACAAGGUGACAGGCAUCUCCUGGCCUUGUGGCCAGGCCUACUGCUCUCACCCUGACCCUGGUUUCCAUCUCCAUUCUUUGUCCCAAUCCUGCUGUCCAAACUUUACCAAGAUUGAAUCAACUGGGGGGGGGGGGGAGAGGAAGCGGAUGCCAAAACUGCUUGCUCAGCACUCUGCCUUGCAAGGGAUGCAGUCAUUGAGUAGCAUCCUAGAGCAGGGCUAGGAGAGAACUGUUGGGAGCAUCUCUCCAUCUCUCCUUCAUUUCUAGGUAUAUGGUCUGGAAAGCCGCACCUUGCCAUGGCCCUGUAGUGUAGAACCAUUAGACUCCGUUCCUCCCUUUUCUGAAGACUACCCAUCCUCCAAGCUCUUCCCUCUUCUCUGUCUUCCUACUCUAGGCCCUCCCAGAGUCUCCCUUUCCGGAUCCCAGCUCCUCUCUUCUUCCCUCACCCCAGCCUACCCCUCCCAGUCCCUUCCUCACACCAGCUCCUCCUGCCUUUGAUCUUUUCUCACUGCAGCCACUCUUUCACCUCAGCUUCUCCCUCCUCCCAGGGGGGACUCUCACCGGGCUCCUCCCUUCUUCCAAGUCAUCCCUCACUCCACUCCUCCCCAGCCCCAUUGUGCUCAUGCACCAUAGUUGCUCAGACAGUUACCUCUGGUGUGUGAGCCUCCUUGUUGGGACCUGAGCUCUGCCCACACCCUUCUGAAUAGUUCCUUCAUCAACUGUCUGGAAUCCCAGCCGCAGGUGCCAUCUGUCCCCCGACAGCACCGUCUGAUGCCACUUCCUGAAUUCCUGUCAUCUGUGGGGAGACGAGUGACAAGAGGGUAAGGUGGAUGUUUCACAAACAGAGUAGAUUGCGGGUCUCAGGGUUCUUUGCAGCCACCUGAGUCACUGGGUAGGAAGCUAUUCUGAGCUCGUUCCUUGUGUCUUAGCUGUUAACGAAGAUCCGGCUACACAGAGCACAGAGCGUGUAUCACCAGGGGAGGUCUGCUAUGGUAUUCAAAAGGAAAAAAAAAUCUUUGUGUUAAAAAUGGAGCUGUUCAAAGCUAAGACACGUGUGUAGCAGCGUAGCCUAGGCCAGGGAUUCUAACUCCAUAUUACCGCUUUAGAUUCCUUUUUUUUGCCCAAAGUACGGGACUGAUGGGGCAAUUGCCUCACCAAGUAGUUGUCGUGACAACCACAGAGUUUUCCUAUUGGGCACCACUUAGCCUGACUUGAUACCACCACCAUAUUUAUGGAAGCCACCCUUGUCCAUUGACUUUUGUGGUUAUAAUAAGAGCAGCUGCCAGUGAAUUCUACCAGAUAUAAAGUGUGCUAUUUCCAGGGUCUCUGACUGUGUCUCUUUCAUGGCUGAAGCUAUUGGCUUAGGCAUGAGCUGGCUUUUUUUAAUCUACCAUCCCAAGGUCAGAGCCAUUCCAUUAAAAUGCCUGCUGCUAAUCAGAAGCCAGCUCCAGGUAGGCUUAGUUUUAGAUUUUAAAUACCUCUGUAUCAUUUCUGAGAAGUAUUGCUCUCUGGUUCUUGUGCGUCCCACAGAAAGUGUUUCCUCAAAUAGAGGCCCAGCCCUGACUGUGGAUGAAUGUGUGUAUGCCUGGGGGCCGUGUGCACCUUAGCGUUCCGUGGGAUGUGCUUUCUCUCGAAGUAGAGGGAGAGGUCUCCAAGGGCAGCGGAGUCAGGGUGGAUGGUUCCACGAGCAAGCUCUGGGGUCAGAACACUUGGUUUGAAUCUUGGCUCUACUGUCACCUUUCUAUGUGACUCCAGCAAGUUAGUGAGCUCUGCAUUGAUUUGCUAUCCACCAAAUGGGGAUGAUGGUGGCACUGGAGCCAUGGAGUCAUCGUAGACUUCGAGUGAGUCAGAGUUUAAGAAACGUAAGACGGUUCAGGGUGGGUAAGGGUGUCUGCUGCUAAGCCUGAUGACCUGAGUUCGGUCCUUGGGAAUUCACAUUGUAGAAGGAGAGGACUGACUCCUCGGACCUCCACACAUGCACCAUGAUGCAUGUAUGUGCACAUGCUAGUGUGUGUAUGCGCAUGCGUGUGUAUGCGCAUGCGUGCACAUGUGCACAUGCACCCACACGCACAAAUAUUUAGUGUGUUUUUGCUCAAGAAUACCUUCGCAGCCAGCUUUUUUUGUUUCUGGCUCAUUUCGUGUGUGUGUGUGUGUGUGUGUGUGUGUGUGUGUGUGUGUGUGUCUACAUGAGUAUGCAGGUAUAGAUGCACAUGUGUGUGUGUAUGGUAUACACAUAUGUGCAGGUAUGUAGAAGUCAGAGGCUAAUCUUGGGUACCUGUUUUUAAGUAUCCUCUGCUUUAGAUUCGUUUUAUGUCUUGAGAUCGAGUUUCUCUCUUCUGGGACUCACCAAGCAGGCUAGGCUGGCUGGUCAGAGAGCCCAGGGGUCCCUUUUCCCACCUCCCUAGCACUGGGAUUGCAAGCAUGUGCCACCAUGCUGGCCUUUUUUCGUGGGUCCUGGGCAUUGAAUUCAGGUCCCUAUACCUUAAAGCAAGCACUUCACCAAGUGUGGGCCAUUUAUCAGACCUUGAUUCUGGCUUUUAUGUCCUUUGGACUGAGUACCUAUUGCUGGGCAGUCAUACUUGUAGGGUCAUGGUAGCAGGGCUGUGGGUUUCAUUCACAAACAUGAGAUCUCACCCCAGCUCCCGUCCUCCCUACCUGGUCUUGGCAGAGUAGCUGAGGAGCGCCCUGUAACAGGCAGGGUGUUGACAACUUCUAACGUGUUCCUGGGCACUUGCCAUGGAUUAGCAAAAUGUCCAUCUGGAUUAUGCCAGUUUGUCUCCAGAAAAGCUCUGUGAGGUAAAUAAGACCCUCAGGAACUGAAGGUCACGGUGGACUGACGUAAGAGUCCCUGGGGACUGUAACUGGGUACCACUUGGACAGUGCACAUGACUCUGUCAGUCUAGAGCAGUGGUCCUCAACCUUCCUAAUGCUAGCAAAGAUGCUUUAACACAGUUCCUCAUGUUGGUGGUGACCCCCCCAAACCAUAACAUUAUUAUAAAUGCUAAUUCAUAACUGUAAUUUUGCUACAGUUCUAAAUCAUAAUGUAAAUAUCUGUAUUUUCCAAUGGUCUUAGGUGACCCCCUGUGAACGGGUCAUUUGACCCCUUCCCCGAGAGGGGUCUCGACUCACCAGUGGAGAACCACUCACUGGUCUAGGUGCUCAGAGAGGUGCUGACCACUGUUAAGGGUCAGCACAGACAGAAGACUGUCAUGGAUGCUUGCCCGUGGAUUCUUCUACUGACGUUUGUGCUGCCCUAUCUUACUGGCUGUUUGUGCCGUCUGAGUCAUCAGGCAGAGGUGAAUCCUUAGAGUCAGGAUCAAGUAUGUACUACUGCUCACUGCACCCUUAAGAUGGCUCUGUGGAUAGAGGACUUCUGCUCUAACUAUAGCCUUCAACGUCACCAUUACUGUGGGAAGCUUCCCCUACAGUUUAGCUAAGCCAUUUUCUGAGAGUGCUCUUUAUCAUUGUAUUGAGGGGAAGAAAAAAAAACCUUUUCUUUUACGAAUAUAUUUACUUUCAGAAAGAAGAGGUAAUUUGUGGCAAAAGUAGCUUGGCAUUCAUUGUGGGGACAUUUGGCUGAUUUUGGUGGGCCGACAUGUUUUCUGAUGGUGCUGGAGAGGUGGGUCUGUGGUUAAGAGCACUGGCUGUUCUUCUGGAGGACCCAGGUUCAAAUCCUAGCAAGAUGUGACAGCUCGCAACUGUCUGAAACUCCAUCUCCCUCACACAGGGAUACAUGUCUGGGGAUCAACCCCCCCCCCCCACACACACACACAGAUAGACAUGCAGGAAAACCACCCAUUCACAUAAAAUAAAAAUAAAGGAAAUAUCAUAUAAAAAUGUCUGCUGACGCUUACCCCACGGAAACAAACAAAUCCAGAGAAUGUGGGCUCUUUGAGUCAUUCUGUCCCACACAGGUGACAGGAACAUCCUUUAUAGUAUCAGCAACUCUUCUCCCACCCCACCCCAACCCCAGAGCUGAGGACUGAACCCAGGACCUUGUGCUUGCUAGGCAAGCGCUCUACCUCUGAGCUAAAUCCCCAACCCCUUAGCAACUCUUCUUAACUUCACUCCCGGGGCAUGGCAUCACAUCACAUGGAUGAGGAAAAGAGAAGCUGGAAUGAUUGGGUACAAGCCACGCUAGGGCAGCCUUUCUCAAAUCUCUCCCAUACCACGGUGAGUUUCUAGCAUUCGUCUCACAUCUCAAAAUGACGGGGCCCCGUCUUAACCCUAUCCAGGAUGCCUCGAUAGCCUAGAUUAGUAACCUCCCUUCCCUCCAGCGUGGGAGCUGUCAUCUUCCAGUUUUGCUGCCUGGCUGGGAGGCUUCUGUGGGCUUUAUUGUGCCUUAAGGCCUUAAACUGCCUAAGCGCUUUCCUCAGGAAGUCUUAGUGCGAGACGAAAACCUUAGACAGGCGUAAAUCGAGAUUCGCCUUCCUAAACGAUUUGUACCGCCAUACUUCCGAGCCACCUCCUCACCACGGUGGUUUAGCUAGAAGACUCAUGCAACACUAAAGGGGCAUACACACACGUGCUUAAGAAUGUAGCUCGCUGUCUUUAGAUACAGUCUGGCUGCUCUGAGCUCUACUGCCUAAGGGGAGAGCAAGGAAAUCCUGAUCCCUCAGCGGCUUUAGCUGUGAAGACUCAGGAAAAAAAAUGCUGAGAUUUUGCAGCUUGCUCUCCAGGUCUCGCUCUCUGCAAAAGCAGGUACAAGAAAAAUUUCCUUCUACGUAUGGGAUGUUCACAGCAGACCGCUCCACUUACCAGUACCAGGGGGCAACAGGAAGCAGUUGCUCUCCCUAAUGCUGCAACCCUUAAAUAUAGUUCCUCAUGCUGUAGUGACCCCACCCAGCCAUAACAUUAUUUUGUUGUUACUUCACAACUGUAAUUUUGUUUCUGUUAUGAAGCAUGAUGGAAAUAUCUGAUACACCAGGAUAUCUGAUAUGCGAUUCUCAAAGGGGUCGCGACCCACAGGUUGAGAACUGCUAGAAUAGAAGCACAGUGGGCCUUCAGGGCUCCCUUCUUAUUAUCAGCAGAGGUGACUGCUCCUGGGGGGGCGGAUACUAAGGCUGCUGACACUUUCAGCUCCCCUAGCAUGACCAGGGUAUCUAUAUGAAUUGUCACAUUUUCAGAGUGUGAGUUAAUAAAUUAAGCACCAAAGGAUUCUUUCAUACAGCUGUCAUGUGCAUGUAUGCAUGCCCGCAUGUAUGCAC